UACAGAGGUCCCAAGCGUUGUUCGGAUUCACUGGGCGUAAAGGGUGCGUAGGCGGUUGGGUAAGUCUGUCGUGAAAUCUCCGGGCUUAACUCGGAAAGGUCAACUGAUACUGUGCGACUAGAGUGCAGAAGGGGCAACUGGAAUUCUCGGUGUAGCGGUGAAAUGCGUAGAUAUCGAGAGGAACACCUGCGGCGAAGGCGGGUUGCUGGGCUGACACUGACGCUGAUGCGCGAAAGCCAGGGGAGCGAACGGG
rnacentral:rRNA from 1 species